rnacentral:lncRNA from 1 species
AGAAAAUGCAAAGGGGUUCCAUUAGCAGUGACGACAAUAGCAUCACUUCUUUUUACGCAAAGAGAGGGAAGAUAUUGGAAAUCAAUAAGAGAUAAUGGGUUAUGGCAAAUGGAGCAGAAGGAAAAUGAUAUUUUACCUGCUUUAAGAUUAAGUUAUGAUCAUUUACCUGCUUAUUUGAAAAGGUGCUUUGCUUAUUGUUGUUUUUAUCCAAAGGAUUAUCAAUACAAGCAUUUGAGAUUAAUUCAAUUUUGGAUGGUACAUGGACUUGUCGAAUCAACGAAUGAAAAUGAAGAGCUAGAAGAUAUUGGGUUGCGCUAUUUUCAGGAGUUGAGGUCUAGAUCAUUUUUUCAAGAUUUUGAGGAAUAUGAUAUAUUCAUUAGGUGUAAAAUGCAUGAUUUAGUGCAUGAUCUUGCAUUAUCAUUGACACAAAAUGAAUUUUCAACAAUAACCUCAAGCACCAAACACAUCUCAAAGGGUGUUCGCCAUUUGUUAUUUCUUUCAAUUCCCCAAAAUCUUCCCACUCUCUUACAAGGCUUAGACCAUGUGCGAACUGCUAUUUUUAACACUGAAGAAAUGAGCCAAUCAGCCUUGGAUUUAUGUUUGUUAAGAUUUCAAUAUCUGCGGAUGUUGGACAUGAGCCAAGUCCGAUUAAAGGUAUCGCUAGAAAAGAUUGGUUCAUUAAAGCAUUUGAGGUUUUUAUUUUCACAUGAAGUUUCUGGAAUUAAAAAGAUCCCCAAUUCAUUUUGCAAGUUACAGAAUUUACAAUUUUUAUGGCUCGGGGAACAAUUUACAUGGCUUAGGGAAAAUAUUGAGGAGUUGCCCAGUGAAAUAAGGUACUUGAUUAACCUUAGAUUUCUAAUUUUUUCCACAAAGCAGAAGUGUUUGGCAAAGAAUGGACUAGGGUGCUUGACAUCUCUUAGAUUUUUGUGGAUUCAAAGAAGUCGAUAUUUAGAAUACUUGUGUGAAGACAUGCAAGGUCUCAAACAUCUUCGAACAUUGAUUAUUACUAGCUGUAAAAUCUUAAUCUCUUUGCCUCAAAGUAUAAAAUACCUUACUGCACUAGAGACUCUUCAUAUUGAAAAUUGUACAAACCUUAAUUUGACUUGGGAGGUAGAUGAUCAAGAUUUGGCUCAAUUCAGCCUUCAACAGCUGACACUUGGACGGUUACCAAAAUUGGUAGAGUUACCAGAAUGGCUUCUUCGAGGAUCCACCAACACUCUGCAACUAUUAAAACUAGGACGUUGUGAAAAGCUCAAGAAAUUGCCUGCUUACUUACAUAAUAUGAUAUCUCUUCAACAACUUGUGAUUUACUAUUGUGAUGAACUAAGCAGUAGAUGUGAACGUGAAGUUGGUGAAGAUUGGUACAAAAUUGCUCAUAUCCCAAAAAUUAUUCUUGGUGGUUCUGAGAUCGGUUCAACAGAAGAUUAGGUAUUGUAUAAAUUAUAUUUUCAUUUGCUUUUAAUGUUAGUUUCAGAUUUAAAUUAUAAUUUUUCAAAUUUCUUUUUAUUUAACAUUUUAGAUUAAAAUUACUUGUUUUUUGUUGGCAGAUACACAUAAUGGGAAGGGAACACAGGCUACUGCUUAAUGUGACCAUAUAUAUAUAUAUAUAUAUAUAUAGUAGUUUUGAUGUCCUUCAACUCUCGUGGAAGCUCUCUUCCUCCUCUCCAGCCUCUGUGUUGAAGAAGCAAAGAUGGCUAUAAAUUAGGUGAGUUAAAGUUCAUUACCUUGAAUUAGAACAAAUGGGUAAUUGUCAAUUUUCCAUUGAAUUUUUAUUUCAUUACAAUCAAUUACUGCAUUCUACUAAGUAUAUAUUUGCAUAUUGUCUUCAAACCCCGCGCAAGAUGGAGAUGCCCUAGUUUUGGGAAUCCCAUCUUGGAGAGAAGGUUAUAGAAAUGCACUGUGUCGAGGGAUUUGGUGAACAGAUCAGCGAUCUGCUGUCUCUGCUGUCUGGAUGGCACAUGCACAAUUGAAAUGAAGUCUCUGGAGAGUUGCUCUCAUAUAAGGUGGCAGUCUAUAUCCAGAUGCUUCGUCCUUUCAUGGAAUACGAAGUUGGCUGUUAUGUAUUGAGCGGCUUGGUUGUUGCAGUCCAGAGGGAUGGAGAGCUCCAGCGAUAUGCUAAACUCCUUUAACAGGUAAGUGAUCCAUUUUAGUUCAUAGACUGUAAUCGUCAUGCUUCGGUAUUCGGCUUCUACGAUUGAUCUGUUAAUAGUAUUUUGUUUUUUGGUUUUUUAGGAUAUCAGUGAGUCACCAAGGAAAAUGCAGUCCCGGUGAGGGAUUUUCUUGUCAUGGGGCAAGAUGCCCGGUCUGCAUCAAAAAAAACCCCGGUUCUUGAAGGUGUUCUGGGCUGGAGAAAAUAAGCCUCGUGUUGGGCAAUCCCAUAAAACAUUUGACAUAGCCUAAAUCUUUUAUCGUAAAGAGUCCAUCGAGGUAAGCUUUUACAUUUGAGAUGUCUUCUUGUGAUUGACCUGCUAAAAGUAUAUCAUCAACGUAUACAAGUAGUGCUAAGAAAUAGUCCUUUUGUGAUGUUAUGAACAGGCAAUGAUAUUGGUUGAACCCAUAUUGCUUCAAACAAUCGGUGAGUUCUUUAUUUCACAUUCUUCCUGCUUGUUUUAGGCCGUAAAUACUCUUGAUUAGUUUACACACCUGUUCUGGUUGUGCUUUGUCAUAGCCUUCGAGAGUAGCAUAUAUAGGUUUUCUUCCACAUGUCCGUGUAAAUAGGCAUUGUUGACAUCUAAUUGGUGUAUUGGCUAGUUUUUAGCUGUAGCUAUGGUCACAAACAUUCUCACAGUAACUAGUUUGGCUACUGGAAAAAAAUUAUCGAUGUAAUUAAUACCAGAUAGUUGGUUGAAGCCUUUGGUCACUAAUCGGGUUUUAAAUCGAUCGACAGAUCCAUCUAGCUUAUAUUUGUGAUCCAACUCGAAAAAUUUUACAUUACAAUCCGAAUUGAAUAAAAAAUAGAAUUUAUAUUGGAAGCAGAAGGUGAGGGCGAGGAUUUUUUUUCAUAUCAAGAGUUAUAAAUAAUCGUAUUUUUUUAAUUUUUCUGUCUAAUUAGUUUAGAAGCCUUUGAUUAUUUUAAAAAACGUGAUUUUAACCGGAGUGUUAAUUUAAAAGUAUUUCUGAUUUCAGUUGUGAUAUGAAAACCCUUCUUUAAAUAGCAUUUUCAAGAACACAAUAUUAAAGAAUUUUUUUUUAUUUGGCCUUUUUAAAGUAAACAUUAAUUAUGUAAAUAACCACAAUAAAUUUGUAAAUUAUUUUUUAAAUUACAUUACUUAAAUAAUAAACCCAAUUUUCUAUCAUUCACGUUGAAGGUGCCAACAAAAGUUGAGUGUAUUUUCAACCCUUUCUAGAUUCCUUUGGGUAGUUUUUAUUGCCAAAGAAAACAAACUAAAUAUAUAGAAAUUUUAUAGAUUUUAUAUGAAAAAUGUACACAAAGUGAUAUUUAUUUUUACAAAAAAUAUAAUAAAUUAAUAAAAUUGAAUGAUCAAAUGUAUAAAUAUAUUUUUAUUAAAUUAAUAUAUCAAAAAUAUAUUAAAAAUUAAUAACAUUAUAGUUAAUUAAAAAUAAUAUUUUAUUCUAUUAUUUAAAAAAAAAUACUAUUAUUUUUAAUUCUUGAAGUGUUAAUGUUUUUUAUAUUCACUGAAAGCGUCACAUAAUUUAUUAGUUUGAUAAUUAUUCAUAAAAAAUAAAGUUUUAAUAUCAUAUAUUUUAUGUAAUACAAUUAAUUGCAAAAAAUAGAUUUACUUUAAAAAAUUAAAAUAAAAAAUGCUUUUGAGUAAAUAUAAGGUGGAGGCAAAAUGAAAAUAACCAAAGCUUUUGAUUGAGAUUUGUCUAACAAAUUUCACCAAUGAAAUGGUAAAAUUUAUUAUUUCAUUAUAUUAAAAUAUAUAUUAAAUUAUAAAAAAAUUAUUAAUUAAUUUUUAUAUUAAUUUAGCUAUUAAGUAUUUUUACUUAUAUAAAAAUUAUUAAUUAAUCUUUUAAUUUUAUAAAAAUAUCUACUAAUCAGUAAAUUUAUAUCGAGUUUAUUUGAGACUUUUCUUCUAUACUAAUAAUUACAAUUAAUAGAAAUAUUAAUUAAUAUAUUUUUAAAAAAAUUCAAUAACAUUUAAAUUUUAUUUUUAAAAUUGAUAUACUAACUAAUAAACUUUUAUAUAUCACAGAAUUUAAUAUUAAUUUUUUAAUAAAUAUAAAUAAUAAACUAUAUUUUAAUUUUUAAAUUUUAAUAUAAUUAAUGAAUUAAUCAUUAUAUUUUUAAAAUCAGAUACUUAAGUCUCUCUAUAAUUAUUUUAUCCAAACUCUAAUCCUUUCAUUCAUUUCGUACGGUUAAAAGCGUAUAAAUAUCUGUAUUGCAUUUUUUAGGAUAAAUUAUACUAAUUUUCAAAUUUUAAUAUAAAUAACGAAUCAAUUCUUAUAUUUUUAAAAUUAAAUCUUUAAAUUUAUCUAUAAUAAGCAUUCGACUCCAAUCCUUUCAUGCAUUUAAUGGUGUACAAAUGUUUUUAUUGCCUCUUUUAAAAUUAGAAUUGUUAAGAAAAUAAGAUUGCAACCAUUUUUCCUUAUCAUUUAUUUUUCAUUCGAGAAAAACUUAAAUCCCUAAUUCUUUUUAUAUAGACUAUCACAUUCAAUUAAUUUUUAACACUUUUAUUCUUUAAUUUUUCAUUCAUUUAAAUACUUUUAGAAAUUACUUUUUCAUACAAUUUUUAAAAAAUGUUUGUAACUACAACCAUUUUUAAGUAGUAUUAAGUAUUCUUAAAUAUGAUAUAUACUUUUACAAAAAAUUAUAUUUUUAAAAGUUUGAUCAUCGAGUAACUUUGAAUUAAUAUUUAUAAUGGAUAAAAAGAGUCUGAUAUUAGAAAGACAGAAUAUAAAAAGAUUUAAAAGUUUAAUUUUAAAAAUAUAGAUAUUGACUACAAUAAUUUUUAACAUUUACAAGAGUAUUUUAGAUAUUUAAAAUAUUUAUUCAAUAAUUAACUUAUUGACUAAUAAAAUUAUAAAUGAAAAAACGUUUCAUUUGCACAUAGUGAUUAUAAAAAAAUUUAUGUAUUCAAUUUAAAAAAUGUAACUAACUCUAAUUUAUUUUCCUUCCAAUUUUUUUAAUAUAGGGAGGGAAAAAGGUUGGGGGGUAAGCCUGAUUGCGCAGAGGACUUCAAACUGGCUGGCAGGCCAUCCCCACUUUUCUUGUAUCCAAAAAGUAUAGUACAGAUUUUAAAGGACUGAGUGAGUUGUCACAUUAAAUAUAUUGCUGGUGCGGUAAUCAAGAUGUAUUGAUCCAUUCAAAGACGUCCAUAACCCACUGCUUUUUUAUUUGCCAAUUUUUUAGUAUUAAAUUUAACAACAAUUAAUUACACAUUUCUUUAUAAAAUUUUAUUUUCUUUCCUCAUAAAUUUAUACUUUAAAUCAUAUAUUUUUUAAAUAAAUCACAUAAAUUAAUUUUUAUAUUUUUAAAAUUAAACACUUAAAUCUAUUUAUAAUCAGUCCGUCUAAAUAGGAGUCCGUUUAGCUAGAAGUAUUUUUAUUUAUAAUACAAAUCAAAGGGAGAUUAAUACCUAAAAUACUCUCAUAAACACUUAAAUCUUUGUCAAUAUGAAUAAAAUAUUUUAAAUACGUAAAUUAUAUUUUAGUCUCUAAUUUUUAGCAUAAUUAAUAUAUUAGUUCUUAUAUUUUUAAAAUUAAAGGAUUAAAAUGUUUAAAUUUAAAUAGAUAAAGAAAAUAAAUGAAACCCUCACUCUUUAAUAUUUUUAUUUUAAAAAAAAAACAUAAAGAUAUUUUCAUACUUUUAAUCUUAAGAAAUGAAUAAAAAAUUUAGAAUUUAAACGAAAUUAUAGGAUAAUUUAAGUAUUUGAUUUUAAAAAUAUAAAAAUAUAAAGACAUUAAUUUAAAAUUAAAAAAUUAAUUAAUGAGUUUUGUACCAUAAUAUUUAAUUUAUUAGAAAAUUAAUUAAGAAAGCCUUUCAUCUAUCCAUAAUUUCGUUAAUAACAAAUUAAAAAAAAUAAAUAUUUUAAAUAUUUAAAAUAUUCUUAUAAACGUUUAAAUUUUUAUCAAUGUUAAAAUAUUUUAUAUUACGUAAAUUAUAUUUUAAUUUUUAAAUUUUAACGUAAUUAAUAGAUUAGAUAUUGUAUUUUUAAAAUUAAAAUUUUAAAUUUCUAUGUAUUCAUUCCAUCUAAAAUUAAAAUUUUUUUUAUCCAUUAUAUACAUUAUUCUAAAAAUAGUAGGUAGUUAAACUUUUAAAAGUAUAAUUUAUUUUUAAAAUAUUUUUUUUAAAUAUCUAUGAUCUAUUUAAAAGUUUUUUUAUACCACUCAAGAAUAGUUGAAAUUAUAAAUAUUUUCUAAAAUUUUUCAAAUUAUCAAGAGUAUUUUAAUAAAUGGAAAUUGAAUAAUAAAAAGUAUUAAAAUUUAGUUGAAUUUGAUAAUUGAAAUAUAAAUUACUGGAAUUUAAGUGUUAUUUUAAAAGAAAAAUAAAAAUUUAAAAUGUUUAAAUUUUAAUAGAUGAGGUAAAAUGGAUGAAACUCUAAUUUUUAAUAUUUUUAAUUUAAAAAAAUACUUUUAUAUUUUUAAUUAUAAAAAAUAAUAAAAAAAUUAGAAUUUAAAUCAACGGAGUAAUUUAAAUAUUUAAUUUUAAAAAUAUAAAAAUUAAUUUAUUAAUUAUAUUAUAUUUAAGAACUAAACAUAUAGUUAUUUAUUUAAAAAACAUAAUAAUGAUAUUUUUAUACUUUUAACGAAAAAAAUAAAUAAAUAACUUUUUAUUUGAAAAGAGUGAUUAUAAAAAAAUUUAAAUAUUUAAUUUUAAAAAUAUAAAAAUUUAUUUAUUUAUUAAUUAAAAUAUAAUUUACUUUUUAAUAUAUUAUUUAAAAUUAAGAAAUUAAUUAAUAAAUUUUGUACUUAAUUUUUUUUUUUCUCCUGCCCCACUUUCGCUGUAUCCAAAAGCAGGAUUCACGGGUUUACUGUAGAAGAGGUGGAGGCAAUAAUUCAAAAGAAUCAAACAAGCUCUCGGUUGAGAUAUUUCUAAGAAAUUUCAUUACUGCUUCUUGGAAAAAGAAAUAAUAAAAAGACAAAGACCAAGACUCAUGAAGAAGACUGAUUUUUGGUGUAAAGUGUAUACAAGAUAGGCUCAUCCAGAGUUCAUAAUUACUUCAUUCCCAAAACGAAACUCAAACCCAUAAACAGAUUUUCAUAAGAUGGCUUUAGAAUCACUUGCUUCCAUUGUUGCUGACAAAGUCCUUGAAAAGCUUGCUUCUAACACCUAUCAAGAAAUUUCAAUUGCGUGGGGUGUCCAUGGGGAACUCAGAAAGCUUGAGGAUGUCUUGACUACUAUCAAAGCUGUACUUUUGGAUGCUGAGGAAAAAGAAGUGGAGAAUCACGAGCUGCGAGUGUGGUUGGCUAAGCUUAAAGAUGCUCUUUAUGAUGCUGAAGAUCUCCUCGAUGAAUUUGAAUGUGAGCAGCAAAGAAAACAAGUCCUUAAAUUGUAUGGAACCACUGCCAAAAAGGUAUGAAGUAAUUAUAAUCUCAAUUAUAUAUAUAUAUAUAUAUAUAUNNNNNNNNNNNNNNNNNNNNNNNNNNNNNNNNNNAUAUAUAUAUAUAUAUAUUUUAUCUCAAUUAUUUAUAUAUAUUAUACAUUUAAUCUCAGGUGGGUCGCUUUCUUUCAUCCUCUAAUCCCCUUGUAUUCCGUUUUAAAAUGGGUCAUCGGAUAAAAGAAAUAAGGGAGAGAUUAGAUGAAAUUGCAUCUCAUAAGGCCAAGUUUCAUCUAGAAAGAAAAGAAGCAAGGCGUGUUAUACCCAGAGAAAGAUCAAUGACUCACUCCUUUGUAGAGGCUUCUAAUGUUAUUGGAAGAGAUGAGGAUAAAGAAAAUAUCAUUAGACUUUUACAGAAGCCUAAUGAUAGUGGUAAAACUGAUGUUAUUGCUAUUGUUGGAAUUGGUGGUUUAGGGAAGACUGCACUCGCCAAAUUAGUUUAUAAUGAUGAACGAGUGCAAAACAACUUUGAACAUAAGAUGUGGGUUUGUGUAUCAGAGGAUUUUGAUGUAAAACUUUUGACUGAGAAAAUUAUUCAAUGCAUAACCAAUGGUAGAGAGAACAUAAGGCAUUUGGAAAUGGAGCCAUUACAAGGAAUCUUGCGAGAAACAAUUGGUGAUAAGAAGUAUUUACUCAUCUUAGAUGACGUAUGGAAUGAUGAUCCUUUGAGAUGGAAUUUGUUGAAUGAGCUUUUGUGUACGGGUGCUAAUGGGAGCAAAAUCUUGGUGACAACUCGUAGCAAUAAAGUAGCAUCAAUUAUGGGCAGUGUUUCAGAAUAUGAGUUAAAGGGUCUUCCUCAUGAUGAGUGUAUGGCUUUGUUUACCAAAUGUGCAUUUAAAGCAGGUGAAGAGAAAUGCUAUCCAAACUUGGUGAAAGUUGGGGAAGAAAUUGUAAGAAAAUGCAAAGGGGUUCCAUUAGCAGUGAAGACAAUAGCAUCCCUCCUUUUUACGCAAACAGAUGAAAGAUAUUGGAAAUCAAUAAGAGAUAAUGGGUUAUGGCAAAUAGAGCAGAAGGAAAAUGAUAUUUUACCUGCUUUAAGAUUAAGUUAUGAUCAUUUACCUGCUUAUUUGAAAAGGUGCUUUGCUUAUUGUUGUUUUUAUCCAAAGGACUAUGAAUACAUUCAUUUGGUAUUAAUUCACUUUUGGAUGGCACAUGAACUUCUUGAAUCAACAAACGAAAAUGAAGAGCUAGAAGAUAUUGGGUUGCGCUAUAUUCAGGAGUUGAGGUCUAGAUCUUUUUUCCAAGAUUUUGAGGAAGACUCGAAAAACAAGUUAUUCAGUUCGUGUAAAAUGCAUGAUUUAGUGCAUGACCUUGCAUUAUCAUUGACACAAAAUGAAUUUUCAACAAUAACCACAAGCACCAAAGACAUCUCAAAGGGCGUUCGCCAUUUGUUAUUUCUUUCAAUUCCCCAAAAUCUUCCCACUCUCUUACAAGGCUUAGACCAUGUGCGAACUGCUAUUUUUAACACUGAGGAAAUGAGCCAAUCAGCCUUGAAUUUAUGUUUGUUAAGAUUCCAAUCUCUGCGGGUGUUGGACUUUCGCGAUUCCAAAUUUGAGGUAUGGCUAGAAAAGAUUGGCUCUUUAAAGCAUUUGAGGUAUUUAUGUUUACCCGAAGCUUGUGAAGUUGAAAAGAUCCCCAAUUCUUUUUGCAAGUUACAAAGUUUACAAUUUUUAUGGCUUGGAGAAGAAAUUGAGGAUUUGCCCAGUAAUAUAAGGUACUUGAUCAAUCUUAGAUUUCUAAUUUUUCCCCGAAAGCAGAAGCGUUUGUCAAAGAAUGGACUAGGGUGCUUGACAUCUCUUAGAUUUUUGGGGAUUCA